rnacentral:rRNA from 1 species
GAUGAACGCUGGCGGCGUGCUUAACACAUGCAAGUCGAACGGGAAACCUUUUAUUGAAGCUUCGGCAGAUUUAGCUGGUUUCUAGUGGCGGACGGGUGAGUAACGCGUGGGUAACCUGCCUUAUACAGGGGGAUAACAGUCAGAAAUGGCUGCUAAUACCGCAUAAGCGCACAGAGCUGCAUGGCUCAGUGUGAAAAACUCCGGUGGUAUAAGAUGGACCCGCGUUGGAUUAGCUGGUUGGUGGGGUAACGGCCCACCAAGGCGACGAUCCAUAGCCGGCCUGAGAGGGUGAACGGCCACAUCGGGACUGAGACACGGCCCAGACUCCUACGGGAGGCAGCAGUGGGGAAUAUUGCACAAUGGGGGAAACCCUGAUGCAGCGACGCCGCGUGAAGGAAGAAGUAUCUCGGUAUGUAAACUUCUAUCAGCAGGGAAGAUAAUGACGGUACCUGACUAAGAAGCCCCGGCUAACUACGUG